ACCACUAAGCCAGUGGUGAACUCCACAUACGCAUCCUUUGCUGAGGAUACGGUUAACGGAGCGAAAGCGACGUUCAACCGCAAAAGAAGCAGAGGGGGCUUAGUGGUGGGGUGACUGCGUACCUUUUGUAUAAUGGGUCAGCGACUUAUAUUCUGUAGCAAGGUUAACCGAAUAGGGGAGCCGGAGGGAAACCGAGUCUUAACCGGGCGUUAAGUUGCAGGGUAUAGACCCGAAACCCGGUGAUCUAGCCAUGGGCAGGUUGAAGGUUGGGUAACACUAACUGGAGGACCGAACCGACUAAUGUUGAAAAAUUAGCGGAUGACCUGUGGCUGGGGGUGAAAGGCCAAUCAAACCGGGAGAUAGCUGGUUCUCCCCGAAAGCUAUUUAGGUAGCGCCUCGUGAAUUCAUCUCCGGGGGUAGAGCACUGUUUCGGCUAGGGGGCCAUCCCGGCUUACCAACCCGAUGCAAACUGCGAAUACCGGAGAAUGUUAUCACGGGAGACACACGGCGGGUGCUAACGUCCGUCGUGAAGAGGGAAACAACCCAGACCGCCAGCUAAGGUCCCAAAGUCAUGGUUAAGUGGGAAACGAUGUGGGAAGGCCCAGACAGCCAGGAUGUUGGCUUAGAAGCAGCCAUCAUUUAAAGAAAGCGUAAUAGCUCACUGGUCGAGUCGGCCUGCGCGGAAGAUGUAACGGGGCUAAACCAUGCACCGAAGCUGCGGCAGCGACGCUUAUGCGU
rnacentral:rRNA from 1 species